AUGAGUUUUGAAUGGCUGCAGUAUAUUGACUGUGCUAAGGUAGCAUAAUAAUUUGUCUUUUAAUUGAGGACUGGUAUGAACGAUUUAAUAAUUUAUGAUUUGUCUUAUAAGUUAGUGAAUAAUUUUUAUUAUAAGUAAGAAUACUUAUAUAUGAUAAUGGGACGAUAAGACCCUAAAAGUUUUAUAUAUAGUUGAUUAUUUAAUUAGUGAUAUAUGUUUGGCUGGGGCAGCAAUUUAGAGAAAAUCUAUAGAAAAAAUGACCUUAUAAGGGUUUGUGAUCUUUUAUAUAAAGAUAAAUGGUGUAAAUUACUUUAGGGAUAACAGCAUAAUAAUUUUAGGGAGAUCGUAUCUAUAAAGUUGAUUGUGACCUCGAUGUUGAAUUAAAAAUUCUGUAUAGAGUAGAAGAUAUAUAAGAAGGUUUGUUCAACCUUUAAAUUUUUACGUGAUCUGAGU
rnacentral:rRNA from 1 species